UACGGAGGGGGCGAGCGUUGUCCGAAGUUACUGGGCGUAAAGCGCGCGUAGGCGGGUGGGUAAGUUGGGUGUGAAACCUCCAGGCUCAACCUGGAGACGCCACCCGAUACUGCUGUGACUAGAGGUCGGUAGGGGAGUGUGGAAUUCCUGGUGGAGCGGUGAAAUGCGCAGAUAUCAGGAGGAACACCCGUAGCGAAGGCGGCACUCUGGGCCGAUACUGACACUGAGGAGCGAAAGCGUGGGGAGCGAACAGG
rnacentral:rRNA from 1 species